UUAUCACGCCACUCUGAAGCUGUGUCCUUCGUGAGAUUGUGGCCCCUUGAGAGCAGUGAUCUGGACCUAUUUGUCAUUGUGCUCACAGUGCCUGUGACAAAGCCAGUAUUUCUUUUGGUUUGAUGCCUGGAAAGGGAGCAACAACCUCCCAUCCACUUCCUUGUUCUCCACCAAGUAAGUAACAGUGGUGCCUCCAUUUUCUGGGGGCUAGCAAUGAGGAGGACUGGAGAUGGUCCCUGCACCCUCAGCCCCUUGGACUUUAGCAGUGGAGGAUGAGUCAGCAUAUUGACCUCUGGUGGCCUUGAUCCAGCCCAAGACACCAUAGUCUAAAACCAAAACUCUGGGUGAUUGGUCCCUUAAGAUAAUUACAAUGUGCUUUUUUUUUUUCCAUUAUAGAAAUAGAUACUAAUUGUUUAUCAUAGAAAAAUAGGAAAACAUAGAAAAGCCAGAAAGAUUGCACAUAUCCCUGUUUAAACUUUUGGUGUACUUAUCUCCACAUUUAGAAAGGCAAUUCUAUUUUUGUUUGCUUAGGUUUGCUACUUUAGGAAGGGUUAUGAGAGAUGAUGUUAUAUUUGUCAUUUCACAUCUGGCUUUUUUGAUGUAAUGUCUUCACAUAAACAUUCCGACUUGAAUAUAAAAUGUUGGUAAAUAUUUUGUGACUGACACCUAACUUUUUGUAUCUCAAGGUUGCACUACCUCCUUUAAUUUGCUGGCCCCUUCCCAAGGAAAAAGGCUGAUACAAACAAAAGGUUCAGAGAAUAAUUUAUCUCCCAGUAUUUCCUGCUCAACCAGAAAUUCAAGUACCAGAAAUUGCAGUAAUCUCUCUGAUUCUCUAGUUCCUCGGUUGGUAAGUCUAUUUCUUGAUGUGGUUCUGAAGAUUAAAUGAGAUCAUCUGCAGCAGAUUCCUUUACAUUCCUGAAGAUGGUCCACCCUGAAAUCCGGUAAGUUUCCCUUGCUCCCCUAUAACCUCUGGGUAUAAGAGUCACAGCCAGGUCAGUCCUGGGGGAGGCAGAUCAGUAAAUGAAUGAGAGGCCGCCAAGAUCUCCUACAUCACAUUCUCACUUGCCAGCUCAAAGCCUUGCUCAGAACUCCCUGGCUCAUCAGAGCAACAGAACUGGAGCCACCUGACUUCCAAAUUGGAUUUCUCUCACCUGGCUUGGCACCCUAUGCUAGUCAGCUCUUGGGAUGGCUACAACUGUCUCCUCUGAGAGCUCCUGAGGUUAUUGCCCCACCUGACCAAUGAGUCCUUUCGAUCAAGGUCCUUUCUUGUCUUCCAUCAAUGUGGUAACACCAUACUCUCCUGGGUUGAUCAGCUGUAUCUUGGAGAGCUACCAAAGGGGCAUGAAGGAAAGUGGUGAAGAAGAAGAAAAAGAAGAAGAGGGAGAAGCAGAAGAAGCAUGCCACAGAAGCAGAAGCAGAACAGCAGAACCUGCAAGAUAUCAAGAGGUGACUCCCGAGUCCUGGUGCAGUGCCGUUUAGAGCACAGCAGAGGUGGCAAGCAACAGCCAGAAUCUGUGGACAAUCAACAUCAUAUUUAGAAUGAGGAUGUGCUAGUUCACCCUUCGCUCAUACACCAGUCACCAAGAACAUUGUCCCAAGCUCGAAGACAUGCUCGGCUUGUCAAAAUGACAAAAGAGCCGUGGAAAUAGGGGAAGCCGCCAAAGCACCCAGAAUGAAGGAGCACAUAUCAACUCUUUUAAAACAAGAACACAACCAUCUGAAAGGCUCCACAAGGUCAGAGCAGGAGCUGUUGGAAUGAAAGGAGACAUCCAGGUCAAGUUGCAUCCGUGAGAGUCAAUGUUAUCUAAAGAAUGGGCUACCUCAGAAGGAGAUAAUUGUCCUACCAGAAAUGUUCACCCCAUGACGACCCAGUCACUUAGAGUAUUUGUCUGAAGGAUAUAAGCAACAGAGGAGACAUAGGACUAGAAGACUCUAAGGAUUGUUAGCAAUUCUAAGAGCCUGAUUAAAGCUGGGUUUAAAAUUUCCCAGUGCUCAGAGUCUGAUGUGACUUUAAAUGAAUUUGUUUAAAUGAAGAAUUUUUUCUAAAAUAUUAAUUUAUGUGAAAUGAUAAUGAAUGCUUUUAGAAAGAUAUGAGGACACAAAUAAUAAACAAAGAAUUCAAUAUCAGAAUCUAUAAGGAACUCCAGGAAUUAAAUAAGGAAGGAAAAGACAAACAAUCCAAUAGAAAAAUCUUCUCCAAAUAUCAACAGACAUUUCACAGAAGCCUCAGCCCAGAUGGUAAACAAACAAGGUUAGAUGCCACCAGAGAAAGUCAAAUUAAAACAAGAUAUCAUUUUACACCCACUUUUAGCAAAACAGAGAAGUCUGAUAAUACUAAGUGUUGACAAGAUUAUCAAACAGUGGAAACUUUUAUACACAACUGGUGGGAAUUUAUAAUGAAUUGGUUCAAAACACUUUGGGGGAAAAAUUGGUAUAAUAUACUAUUUUUGAAUAUUUAUAUGUCCUGGAACCCAACAACUCCAUC